UUUUAUACCCCCCGAUUCACAGCCUGGGGAUGAGCUCGCGUCUGAUUAGCUAGUAGGUGUGGUAAGAGCGCACCUAGGCGACGAUCAGUAGCUGGUCUGAGAGGAUGAUCAGCCACACUGGGACUGAGACACGGCCCAGACUCCUACGGGAGGCAGCAGUGGGGAAUUUUCCGCAAUGGGCGAAAGCCUGACGGAGCAAUACCGCGUGAGGGAGGAAGGCUCUUGGGUUGUAAACCUCUUUUCUCAGGGAAGAAAAAAAUGACGGUACCUGAGGAAUAAGCAUCGGCUAACUCCGUGCCAGCAGCCGCGGUAAUACGGAGGAUGCAAGCGUUAUCCGGAAUGAUUGGGCGUAAAGCGUCCGCAGGUGGCUAUGUAAGUCUGCUGUUAAAGAGUGAGGCUCAACCUCAUAAGAGCAGUGGAAACUACAUAGCUAGAGUGCGUUCGGGGCAGAAGGAAUUCCUGGUGUAGCGGUGAAAUGCGUAGAGAUCAGGAAGAACACCGGUGGCGAAAGCGCUCUGCUAGGCCGCAACUGACACUGAGGGACGAAAGCUAGGGGAGCGAAUGGGAUUAGAUACCCACUAGUCAGAUCGCACGGGUGAGUAAUCUAAUCUCGUUAUCACGUCUCCCCGCACACGCGAGACACUGGUGGGAUCUCACACCCUUUUCGCGCGUCACCCACGCGCGCGAUGUCUCUUGGGCAUCUACCCCCUCAUCCGUGUAUCUCACCGCGCGAUGUAUUUGGGCUUAUAUCCACCUAUCGGCAUGCGAGGAGAGNAUGAU
rnacentral:rRNA from 1 species